rnacentral:rRNA from 1 species
UACGUAGGGUGCAAGCGUUGUCCGGAAUUAUUGGGCGUAAAGAGCUCGUAGGCGGUCUGUCGCGUCGGCUGUGAAAACCCGGAGCUCAACUCCGGGCCUGCAGUCGAUACGGGCAAACUGGAGUGUUGCAGGGGAGACUGGAAUUCCUGGUGUAGCGGUGAAAUGCGCAGAUAUCAGGAGGAACACCGGUGGCGAAGGCGGGUCUCUGGGCAACAACUGACGCUGAGGAGCGGAAGCGUGGGGAGCGAACAGG